UACGUAGGGGGCGAGCGUUGUCCGGAAUUAUUGGGCGUAAAGAGCGUGUAGGCGGUUCGGUAAGUCUGUCGUGAAAUCCUGGGGCUCAACCUCGGGCGUGCGAUGGAUACUGCCGGGCUAGAGGGUGGUAGAGGCGAGUGGAAUUCCCGGUGUAGCGGUGAAAUGCGCAGAUAUCGGGAGGAACACCAGUAGCGAAGGCGGCUCGCUGGGCCACACCUGACGCUGAGACGCGAAAGCUGGGGGAGCGAACAGG
rnacentral:rRNA from 1 species